AUCGGCUUACUAAAUCAGCUCACUUUCUACCUUUUCGAGUUGGUACUCCACUUGAUAAGUUAGCCCAAAUGUAUAUUGAUGGAAUUGUACACCUGCACAGUGUUCCAAUAAGUAUUGUAUCUGAUCGAGAUCCACGAUUUGUAUCUAGAUUUUGAAAAAAAUUUCAAGAUGCUUUGGGAACAGAAUUGAGGCUUAGUACUGCAUUCUAUCCCC
rnacentral:lncRNA from 1 species